UUUGAUCCUGGCUCAGGAUGAACGCUAGCGGCAGGCUUAAUACAUGCAAGUCGAGGGGCAGCAUGACUGUAGCAAUACAGUUGAUGGCGACCGGCAAACGGGUGCGGAACACGUACAGAACCUUCCUUCGAGCGGGGAAUAGCCCAGAGAAAUUUGGAUUAAUACCCCAUAGUAUUACGGAGUGGCAUCACUUUGUAAUUAAAGAUUUAUCACUUGAAGAUGGCUGUGCGGCUGAUUAGGUAGUUGGCGGGGUAACGGCCCACCAAGCCUGCGAUCAGUAACUGGUGUGAGAGCACGACCAGUCACACGGGCACUGAGACACGGGCCCGACUCCUACGGGAGGCAGCAGUAAGGAAUAUUGGUCAAUGGACGAAAGUCUGAACCAGCCAUGCCGCGUGGAGGAUGAAGGUCCUCUGGAUUGUAAACUUCUUUUAUAUGGGACGAAAAAAGGCUUUUCUAAGUCGUCUGACGGUACCAUAUGAAUAAGCACCGGCUAACUCCGUGCCAGCAGCCGCGGUAAUACGGAGGGUGCAAGCGUUAUCCGGAUUCACUGGGUUUAAAGGGUGCGUAGGUGGGUUGGUAAGUCAGUGGUGAAAUCCCCGAGCUUAACUUGGGAACUGCCAUUGAUACUAUUAAUCUUGAAUACCGUGGAGGUCGGCGGAAUAUGUCAUGUAGCGGUGAAAUGCUUAGAUAUGACAUAGAACACCAAUUGCGAAGGCAGCUGGCUACACGAGUAUUGACACUGAGGCACGAAAGCGUGGGGAUCAAACAGGAUUAGAUACCCUGGUAGUCCACGCCCUAAACUAUGGAUACUCGACAUUUGCGAUAAACUGUAAGUGUCUGAGCGAAAGCAUUAAGUAUCCCACCUGGGAAGUACGAUCGCAAGAUUGAAACUCAAAGGAAUUGGCGGGGGGUCCGCACAGCGUGGAGCAUGUGGUUUAAUCGAUGAUACGCGAGAACCUUACCCUGGG
rnacentral:rRNA from 1 species